rnacentral:rRNA from 1 species
AUGCCAGGUUCACCUCCGGCGCAGGCUCUCCCUCCAGCACCCAAACCCAGAGCCAAGCGCCACCUCCUUCUCCUCCUCACGGCGCCGUCCCUCCUCGCCCUCGUCCUCGCCGUGCUCUUCGCCACCUCAAGCAAUCCGCUGCCACGCCUCGUCCGCCUGCUCCUCAGACCGAGGUCUUCCCUUCUCAGCCCGCCGGAGCCAGUCUCCGCGGCCGAUACCUCGACGGACGCGGGACGCCCACCAUGUGUUCUAUGGAUGGCCCCUUUCGCCUCCGGCGGCGGCUACUGCUCCGAGGCCUGGUCCUACGUCGCCUCGCUUGACGAGAAUGUCGCUGCAGGCGUCGAUGCGAACUUCACGCUCUCAAUCGCCCACCACGGUGACCUCGAGUCGCCGGAGUUCUGGCAGGGCUUGCCCGAGCAGUCCAAGAACUUGGCGUACAGGCUCGCCACUGCGCAGUGUGAGCUCUCUCGUGCCGUCGUUGUGUGCCACAGCGAGCCUGGCGCGUGGUACCCGCCGAUGUACGAGUCUCUGCCUUGCCCACCUACCGGGUACGACGAGCCGGCGUUCGUCAUUGGCCGGACGAUGUUCGAGACUGACCGUGUCUCGCCGGAGCAUGUCAGGCGCUGUAACCAGAUGGAUGCUGUCUGGGUACCGACAGAUUUCCACGUCUCCACAUUCGUGAAGAGCGGGGUCGAUCCCUCCAAGGUCGUCAAGGUAGUGCAGGCCGUCGAUGUCACAUUCUUUGAUCCAGCCAAGCACGUCGCCUUUCCUCUUCCGAUUGGUUUCUCUGUCAUGGCGCCUGAUGAUUCUACACGGAAUACUGAUAGCUCCAAAGGCAAAGGUUUUGUGUUUCUUAGUGUGUUCAAAUGGGAGCAGAGGAAGGGCUGGGAUGUGCUUCUGACAGCCUUUCUGCAGGAGUUCUCUGGAGCUGAUGAUGUUGUGCUCUACCUACUGACCAACGCCUACCACUCUGACACAGAUUUUGGAGGGAAAGUUCACAGAUUUGUGAACAAUUCCAGCAUUGAGGAGCCAGUGCUAGGAUGGGCAGAAGUCCGGGUGGUUGAUGAGCAUGUCCCACAGUCCGACCUUCCAAGGUUGUACAAGGCUGCAGAUGCAUUUGUGCUACCUUCCCGUGGCGAGGGGUGGGGCAGGCCGGUGGUCGAAGCCAUGGCCAUGGAACUGCCAGUGAUUGUGACGAAUUGGUCAGGCCCAACGGAGUACCUGACUCAAGAGAAUGGAUACCCACUGGACGUGGACAGGCUGACUGAGGUCACAGAAGGGCCAUUCAAGGGUCAUUUCUGUGCUGAGCCAUCAGUUGAUCAUCUGAGAGCUUUGAUGAGGCGCGUCUUUGGUGAUCAGGAGGAGGCAAGGAGAAAAGGGAGGAAGGCAAGGGAAGACAUGGUUGAGAGGUUUUCGCCAGAGGUUGUGGCAAGGAUUGUUGCUGAUCAGAUACAACAGGUGGUUGUCAGUACUCAGUAG